AUGGAGGAGAGAGAUCCUGUUUCCGUAUCCUGUUUGCAUCUGAUGCUGAAGCAGAGACAUGAAUUGCUGAUGAGGAAGAGGCGAAAAGGAGCAGGAGGGGGUAAAGACUGCACCCAAAACCAACAUAUAGCCAGCCCUAAGAUGACCAUAUAUCCCCUCUGGACUGAAGCCUUCAGUAAAGUAGAUUCAACGGCUGUCUUAAAGUUUUGCCAAGAAAAUAGUAUUCCUUUUGUUUACUACUGGAGAAUAUGGUGA
rnacentral:lncRNA from 1 species